AGCGUGUAAAAAACGUACCCGCCCAACGGAUCGGCCCCGAAAAAUUGAUGGCGCUCGAACGCAACCCUCGAACCCCGCCGACGGAGGCUAGGGGAGGCCCCGUCGAGUAGGCGGACGCGCGGGUCGCUUCGACGCUCCCGCGCGAGCGGGGGCGGAGCGGCCCGUGGUGCAGAUCUUGGUGGUAGUAGCGAUCACCCAGGCGAGAACCCUGAGGGCCGAAGUGGAGAAGGGUUUCUCGAGAACGGCACUCGCUCGAGAGUUAGUCGAUCCUAAGCUGCCGGCGGCAGCCACGAAACGGUCGAUCGGGCGCGAGCCCGGCAGCCACGACCGGGCAGCGAAAGGGAAUUGGGAACCUCCUUCCCAAACCCCGGAACCGGAACGAGGGCGGCGACGCGAACGAAACGGCCGCGGAGACGGCGGCCGCGGCCCCGGAGAGAGUUCUCUUUUCUGUGCGACUGGACGUCGCCCCGGAAUCGCGUCGAGCGGAGGGGGGGUCGGAGUUCAGGGAAUAGCGACCCCGGCCUUUCGGGGUGUCCGGGCGGUCCGCGGUCGUCCCAUGAAAAUCCGCGGAUGACGAGUAGGCGACGGUCCGGGUCGUA
rnacentral:rRNA from 1 species